AUGCCAAUUACAGAUACCAGUGUGCCAACUGAUGUGUCAGUUAGCAGCAUGGUCACAGUAAAAACCACCACAGCUGGUCAGGAAGGCACCACUGCAACUGCAAGCCCCAAGGUGCCUACUCAUAAAGAUGCUUCGUUGCCAAACACAAAAGAAGGUGAUCCAACUAUCAAAGUGCCAUCCCCAAGAGCUAGCACACAGCAGCCAAGCAAGCCUGCAUCACCAAGAGCUGACUUUCAGCAACCAUUAACACAAGAGGAGGUGUUCAACAUUAUAAGUAGGUGCAAGCCUCCAAGGUCGCCAACUACACCACUAUUGUGA
rnacentral:rRNA from 1 species